CGACCUCCGGCGCUCCAGUCCGGGUGCGGACUGGUCUUCUCCGGUCCGGUCCGGUCCUCACCCGGCCGUCGCCGCCUCAGCUCUGCUUUUCUGUCAGUGGCCGGAGAGCAGCUGCCCCUGACUGGAAACAAACGCUGACUUUUCUGUCGGAAGAAGCGGCCUGAGUGUGUGUGUGGCUGAGCGUCGCUGUUUCUGCCGCGAGUGCGUGCGCGGGGGACGAGGCCCCUGCGCGGAUCCGGGCGGCCGCACCGCCGCGAAUGUGAAAGCCCAACGUUUCAACAAGCUAAGAUCCACGUUCGCUUUUCCAAAAAUGACAGGAAUGAUAAUAUCUCGAGAAUAUUCCAGUCACGUGGGGUUUGUGGUGAAACAUUUGAGAGUCGGGCUUCCAGUCUGCGAUUUACCAUCGUUCCUGAGCUUCCGAAAAUAAUCUCGAAUCGCGGCCUUCCUGAACAGGAAGGUGGAAUGGCGUGGUUGUAGUCAAAAUGGAAAGUGUUGAUUGCCCGGAACAGUGUACUGAGCAUCUGCUUUGUGUUUGCUGGUGUUCUCUCAGUAAGUCCAGUAAGCAUUUCCGAUGCUGACACACAACCAGAGGAGCCACCGUUCAGUCCAAUGCAGCCUGGACAGAAGUCUCUAGAGCAGCGGAAGGACCGAGAACAGGAGUAGACAAGACACCGAGACCUUAACCCGGCAAAGGAAAAACGUGUCCCAGGAGCUGCCCAGCACCCUCAUUCCAGAGAGGCACUGUCCCAUACCCACGAGGAAGAAAUGCUAUGACUCUGGGGCCCAGAAGAAUCUGAACAGGGUUUAGAAGCUGCCACAAGGGAACUCACCAGAGCACAACUGGGCUGUGUUGAAAUCUUCGGAGAGAAGCACCAACUGUUGGUCAUCUAAUUUCACUGCCCAUGGACAUGUGAACUGGAGCCAGAAAGAGAACUGAAAUUCAAACCAGGAAAUGAAACUAAAUAUUCUAUUUGUUAGCCACUUGAAUGAUGAUAUUUUGUGAAAACAAGCUUAAGACAUGAUUAGCAUCCUCUCUGAGUUACAGAAGCUUAACACUGUGCAUAAUUAGGGGGAAACUUAACUGGAGUUAUCAUCUAGUUUCCUUAUCCAGCCUCAAGAAACAAGGUCAUGUCUCCCAACACCGGGACAAAGUUUUAGCUUUUCCCAGCGUGGAGGAAGACCGAGGACCGACACCAGGGUGGCAGAGACCAAGUCCUGGAGCACACAAUGAACCUCUCAGCUUGGCUAUGACUGUCACAGUCUCAAGGCCAUGGGAACUCUGCCUGAGGGUUCAUCUCUGAGCCUGCCUGGAGCCCCAGUGCCCAAGAGGCAGGUGCAGGACCCGACACCAGCAUCCUGGAGCCAUCAGUGCAAUGGCAAAAUAGAAAUCAGGGAGAGCAACGGAUCAGCUCAGCCUCUCAAUUUUGACAUCACAUAAGCCCAGGACUGGGCAGGACUCCACCAAGGGAGAGCGGGGAGCCCCCCAAAUUGCUUCUGUCUAGUAUGACAGCUCAUAAAAGGAGCUUCCAUCAGCUUUUAUGUACCAGCUUUUUUUAAAAUAGUUUUUUAAUAUCAGAUUUGGUAAGCAGCUGAAGAGAGAUUUUCUUAAGUAUAAAAUUUGACAUAUCUUUAUAUCAAGAAGAGAAAUAGUGAUAACUAGAUGAAUCUUUUCUAUUUACUUCACAAUUUACCUUAAUUAAAAAAAACCGCAGAAUCAUAUGGACCCCUAGACUUUAACAGCUCAAAGUACAUCUACUGAUCAAUUGAUCAACAGAUAAGUAUAGCUUCAAAUUAUAUUUCUAUCUACUCGUCUAACUAUAGAGUUAAGCAGGUUAAAAGGUUCAAGAUAGUGUUCACUAAAUGUAAAAAGGAGUACCAUCUUCUUCCCUCUUCCUCUUGAAUUAGUGUUUUGCAAAAAUGUGCACUGUGGUUGAUCAGUGAUGUAUAAGACAACUGGAUAACUUGGAAUUGUACUGUGUAUUUCAUCAUGAGGCAUUUUCUCUGUAUUAUCAUCAUUUCCCUUCCCAUUUCCUUCCUAAUAUCGUGGGCUCCUCUGGACAGGAUCCCUGGUCUUAAAUUAACACCAUUUAUUUUUCCUAAAUUGAAUUGUCUUCAUCAACUUUAAUCUGUUUUCAUUUCAGUGAUGCCUUGACAUUUUAAUUACAAUCUAGACUCUCCUUGCUGUCCCUUUAUGUAAUUCAUUCCAUUUAGAUGUGGCUAAGGACCUCAGUAGAUCCAAAAAUAUGAAUCUUAAACUAGAUGGUUAUUUUCAUUUUGCUUUAACAUCCACAUACAGGUGGUUUAAGAGUGCCCAGUAACAUUAUUCUCUGAAGUCAACACAGACUAUGGAUCCUUCUAGAUUUUGCUUUUUGUGGCCUCCAUUCUAAAUGGAGGAAAUACCAGUUUCUGCCACAUCCUUUUGGAACCGUUGGGGCGACUUGCUCUCUUGUUUCAAGGACGCAGCAGUAUUUCACCAAAUAGCAGGCACCUGAGUAGGUUCUGCAUGGUAUUUGCAACUCCUGAAUAAAGUCUGACUUGUCAGUGUCACUGGGACACAGUAAUGGUUCUAUUGUUGGAGCAUAAUCUUUCCCUCCAAAGGCAGAUGAAGCCCUCCCUUCUGCUCACCCUCCUUCCCCCUACAGUCACUCUGUUUCCUCACCUUCUAUCCACCAUCAGCCCUCUCCAAAGUGUUGUGGUGAGUUAUUCCACUGUUGGCGCUCCGGUCAACAAGGGCCCCAAUGGAACUCAGUUCAUCAGGUGUUUCCUCCCAUCUUCCUUGGCUUCUCAAGGAUCUAGCAGUCAGUGUUCCCCCUUUCCUACACCCUCUCCUGUGUUGGAUCCCAGGACUCCACUCCUUGCCAAAGGCUCUUUGAAGACCUCUUCCAUGGGCUUCUCGGGGAGCGCUCACAAUGCCAGGUCUCCCCAGCACCCAGUUGUCAGUGCUUCCCUGCACCACACUCCACCCAGGCGACCUCACAGGUGCUGAAGCUUCCCGCACUGAGCCUUGUAUCCCACCCAUCACUGACUAUUUGCACUUGUCUUUCUCAGAAGAACUUCACACAGUUCUUAACACGUGACUGUUACAUAAUAGAAAUUCAACACAUAUUAGCUCAUUGAUAAUAUACUCACAAAGUCCCAAUAAAAAGACAGGAUACAGAAUUUCUUUCUUUGAUGAACUAAUACUUUUUGUGUACAUUAUGUGAC